rnacentral:lncRNA from 1 species
CACAAAUCGAUUAUAUAACUUUUAGUUUACACUUGAUUUCGUUAUCCAUCGAUUGGUGUAUAGUUCAUCUAUCUCAAACCUGAAGUUUGGGGAUUUGAAGAAGGAAAAGCAAGCAAGCACAUCUGAUUUCGAUUUUUUAGAGGUUUUGAAAGAAGUACACCUGAUCAGAAAUCUCUCAUAUUGCCAUAGAUACAGGGUUUAGUUUUGAUUUAGUGAUGAACAAGUAUGAGAUGGCUUCGAGCAAAUCUUGGCGUUAUUUCAAGAGCAGAUGGUGUAAAAUUGCGGGAACGACAAAUAUGACAGGGGCGGGAGAAAGGAUUGAUUAGCAUUUACAUAGUUGAACAUGCUGAGUUGCUGACUUAAAGUGCUAAGCAUUCCAGAAGUUUUACACUCCAUACACCAGUCGUCAACAUUACUUGCUCAAAGAACAACACUCGCAGUAUGACUCCUUUUAUGUAAGUUGAAAAGUUUUAUAAAAAAGUGGAUGAACAAGAUAACAAUGCGAGAUUUUAUGAACCAGUGUAUCGGCUAGAAGCAACCGAAUGAGAUAAUAACGAAAACAACAAUCAGUGAGUUACCUCAAGUGGAAAUCGGUGAGAGUUCAAAGCGUACUGCCGUCUAUAAUCACGCGUCGUGCCACCAGACUUCUUCGCAGCGAACAAGCAGGUUAACGAAGAGUGAAGGGGAGGUGAGAAGGAACUGUGUGUGAGGGUUUUUGUGAGAACGUGGCAGAGUGGGGGAUUUACGGAUUGAUUUAGAGUGAUGAACGGAAUUCAAAGCUUGAUUUGGUUCGUUUGACUUUAGAUUGAAAAUUAUGCGUUUUAAUUUUAUAUAUAUAUAUAUUUAGUCACCUAUAUCUUUCCUAUAAUUCUUUGUUUC